GGUGAAGCGCAUGCACACAGAAUAGGCCAUGCGAGGACACAGUGAGCAGGCGGCCAUCUGCAAGCCAAGAAGAGAUGACCAGGGGAGAUCAACCCUGCUGCCCCCUUGACCUUGGACUUCUAGUCUCCAGAACUUCUUUAAAAUAUCUUAAUAUUUAGCUGUUUACAAUAGUCCUGCGUGGGGAGCAAAAGAGAAAUGAAGCACCUUGAUUACUUGAAUGAAAGAAGACAAUGGUACCAUUUUCUCAGGGUGCAACACCAGAUUUUCAUGAAAAUGGUUCCUAGAGAUGAUCGGAGACAGACCCGCUGACGUGUGAGCCAGAAAGGAAAAUCCAGGCUACGGGACUGAUGUUUUCUCAGGUUCCACGCCCCGCUGGAGACACUGGGGAAGUUGGGGUAACUAGAGAUGGGGUAAAUUUGGAUUCCCAAGAGACAGUGACAGUCAAAAUUGACCAAAGCCUUCUUUUAUAAUUGCAUUUCCAUGUGUGUGUGGGUUUUUUUUUUUUUUAGCAUUUCCUUAUAUUUAACUA